GUUUCUGCUAGGAAUGUCUCAUAACUAUUAUACCCAUCGAGAUUGCAAGGCCUCCUGGGUCAGGAGCAAAAACAAGGAGCCAACAGAACGCUUUCCCAGUCACCUUUGGCAGCAUGCUCCCUGCCUGCUCAACGGAUCAUUACAGCGUCAUGCAGCACAAUUCAGCUCAAAGCCAGGUCUGAUCUCUUCCUCUAGAUUAUAGUGUAUAUAAAGAGGACUUACUGGAGGACACUGAGACAGUUUAUCAGCUGCU